CCUACGGGAGGCAGCAGUCGGGAAUAUUGCGCAAUGGAGGAAACUCUGACGCAGAGACGCCGCGUGCAGGAAGAAGGUUUUCGGAUUGUAAACUGCUUUAGACAGGGAAGAAAAAAGGAAGUACCUGUAGCAUAAGCCCCGGCUAAAUACGUGCCAGCAGCCGCGGUAAUACGUAGGGAGCAAGCGUUGUCCGGAUUUAUUGGGUGGAAAGGGUGCGGAGAGGGAGAAGCAAGUUAGUUGUGCAAUCCCUCGGCUUAACUGAGGAACUGCAACUAAAACUACUUCCCUUGAGUACUGGAGAGGAAAGUGGAAUUCCUAGUGUAGCGGUGAAAUACGGAGAGAUUAGGAGGAACACCAGUGGCGAAGGCGACUUACUGGACAGUAACUGACGUUGAGGCGCGAAAGCGUGGGGAGCAAACAGGAUUAGAUACCCUUGUAGUC
rnacentral:rRNA from 1 species